rnacentral:lncRNA from 1 species
UUCUUUUUCGUCUCCUGAUUAUCAGUAGCCCAAUUUCUAUAUGUCUUUAGCUUUGACCAAAGAAUCAUAUUUUUGGUUAAACAACGAUAUGUUCUGUUUAUUCUCAACGUUUAGCAUGAAAUGGUCUGUUUAUGUCUCAGCAGUGACAGUGAAAUUUUCUUAUAUUUUGGUGGUUUCGAUCUUAAUUAUUGUCCAGUAGCUUACCUCCGAGUAGAUAGUGCAGAAACUGCUUGGCGUUGAAAUUAUGGCCUUGUUUUCAUCCAAAACCAAGUGAUGAUCAAGUGAUAACAUCAGCCCAAGAGGUUGAUGCUUGCCUUGAUUUGUUUCACUUAAUUUCUCCUCCUUAUUAUCCAUGUUACAACUCUCAACACCUUUCCAGCUAUAUAUAAAUACAUAAUCAAGUGUAUCUUCUCAUUUAUGGGGAAUUAUCUACCAUGAAACUGAAACAUGAAAGUGGGGGGUAAGAAGUCGGCAAAUAAAAAAUUUAGGGAAGAGGGGUGAAACAACCAGGUACAACAGAUGAUUCUGGUGCCUAGCUGUUAAUAGAGUUUGGCGAAGUUUAGGCCUUUGCAGCUUGAACUGGAGCUGCAGCUCUGCUGGCAACGAUCUGCUCGUAGAGGUCUCUGAUCUUCAAACCGACAAUGGUCUGGAAGAAACCUGUUCCAUUGUUGCUACCAGGGAAAUCAGCAUGCUUCAACAUUUGUUGAGUAACUUCACCAUAGAAUUUGGUGGAGAGGUUGCUCAAAUGGCUCUCUACAUAGAUGAGCUCAUCUAGUCUGUCAAAUUGGCCAUCCAUCUCCAAGACAGAUACCUGUAAGUUGGAAGAAAAGCAGAUGAUGAAAAUCAGGCAUGAUUUCUGGAAAAA